GCCACGCGUCGAGCGAAUGCGAAGGAUCGGUUUCUAAUCGAGGUUAAUUGUUCGAUUAUUUCUCGCUACUUAUCGUCUCCUACUCGUUUGUGUUCGCCGAAACGCGCUACGUGAUUCUAUUUUCUUUCGACUUCCGAAGAGCUCGACGCGUCGCCGUUCAACGAAAGGGAAACGGCGCACCUCGCGACCAUAUCCGUCCGACUUAAGAGCUACUUACGUUUAAAUCGCGGUGGAUAAUGGUUAGUAGCACCAGCGGCAAUGGCGGCAGGAUCUGUAGCAGUAACAGGGAUUGCGGCGGGAGCAUACUUGAUGUCGUUCGAGUAUACCGUCGACGUCAUCUAGUAGAGAUCUCGUUGGUACGGAAGCGGUUCGCUGUCGAAGCAUUGACUGACCUAUUCUCGUGGCCACAAAUAACUAACUAAGAACAGAGUUAAACGCAGCUUCUAAAGCUUCUCAAAAUCAUUUCUAACGCGACUGUCGAUUGCGGGAGUGCACCCUGCGUUUGUAGAUAUUUAUUAUUAUCUAACGAACUUACGGCUUCCUGCGUAAAGAGUCAUGAAACAAGAAAAAGUCAGAGAUACGUUAGACAGAUUGUCGGAAAGUCGUUCAAGAAUUUUUAGUGGAACCACCGUGCACUCGAUCACCACUAUUGUUUUCAGAUAUACCCACGACUGUAUGCACGUAAUCGAAUCCAAUUCAAUAGAUUCUAAAUACCAACAAUAAAUAAGCUAAAAUAACACUGCCCAAAUAAUGCUUUUUUACGUAUUCCAACCUUCGGUAGACGUUUCUUGUAGGUUUUCAUAUUCUAAAUCUGACAAUUGAUUAUCCCUAUCAUCCUCAGUUUUUGGGAAAUUGAGAAUUUCGUAUCAAAAUACAAACUUCUGAAUUUAAAAAUUAUUUAAAAGUCGAUUAUAAAUGU